GCACAAGCGGUGGAGCAUGUGGUUUAAUUCGAUGGUACGCGAGGAACCUUACCAGGGCUUGACAUGUGCCGGAAGCGCACCGAAAGGUGCGUGCCGCUGCGGCCGGCGCACAGGUGCUGCAUGGCUGUCGUCAGCUCGUGCUGUGAAGUGUUGGGUUAAGUCCCCGCAACGAGCGCAACCCCUGCUGCCUGUUGCCACCACGAGAGGUGGGGACUCAGGCGGGACCGCCGGUGACAAACCGGAGGAAGGUGGGGACGACGUCAAGUCAUCAUGGCCCUUAUGUCCUGGGCUACACACGUGCUACAAUGGCCGGUACAGAGCGCAGCGAGGCCGCGAGGCGGAGCGAAUCGCUUAAAGCCGGUCCCAGUACGGAUUGGAGUCUGCAACCCGACUCCAUGAAGUUGGAAUCGCUAGUAAUCGCGCAUCAGCAUGGCGCGGUGAAUACGUUCCCGGGCCUU
rnacentral:rRNA from 1 species